rnacentral:tRNA from 1 species
GGCAGAGUGGUAUAGUGUUUGAGCAUUGGACUAUGACUCUGGAGACCAGGGUUCAAUUCCUGGCUUGUCCA